GUGUCAGCAGCCGCGGUAAUACAGAGGGUGCGAGCGUUGUUCGGAAUUAUUGGGCGUAAAGCGCAUGUAGGCGGCGCCUUAAGUCGCGUGUGAAAGCCCCAGGCUCAACCUGGGAAGUGCGCGCGAAACUGGGGUGCUUGAGUGCUGGAGAGGGUGGCGGAAUUCCCGGUGUAGAGGUGAAAUUCGUAGAUAUCGGGAGGAACACCAGAGGCGAAGGCGGCCACCUGGACAGACACUGACGCUGAGACGCGAAAGCGUGGGGAGCAAACAGGAUUAGAUACCCUGGUAGUCC
rnacentral:rRNA from 1 species